CCAGCAUCUGGCCUUUCUGUUCACCGUGUUUUAGCCUCCAGCACCUUGCAUGUGCCCCAAAUGACUUGCUGUGGAACCCUGAGUAAGCCCAUUGCCUCCUCUGGGUCACAGUCUCCAUCCAUAUGAGGAAGGCCACGUGAUAUGGUCUCUGAGCCCCCUUCCAGCUCUGAUGGCUGCCCAUUUCAGCCUGCCCCAGCACUUGAUCCUGGAGAUGCUGAGCACGGGGGGCACAGGAGAGAACUCUGAGCCAAGCUUGGAAGACCUGAGGACAAGCCCUGGUUCUGCCUCUCUGCAGCCUCCAACAAGUUUCCCACCCUCUCUCAGCCCAACCUUUCUCUCCUGCCAGGCUCCGGACAAGUGGGGACCACACCGCCUGCUGUAACCUCGUAAGGCUGGAGAAGUCUGAAGCCAGAAAGGGCCUGAGCAUCUUCUGCGAGGAAUCCAUCCAGCCCGCCAGAGACAACCUGCAGUCAGUCCCCCACUCCCUUGAGUGUUAAGUGUUCACCCUAAGUGCAAGGUGGGGACAUGUGAGUGUAGGUGGAACAGACCCCAGGAGACCUGGGUCCAAGGACACACCAAGGACCAGUGGGGGACUUUGUUCAGCCUUAGAGCUCCCAUAAUCUCCUCCAGACCCCCAGGGCCACCCCCAAGUAAACAGCUUGAGGGAGAACCGCGUGGUGCUCGCUGGCUUCAGGACAAAGUUAUACCACCACCCCUGUUCCGGCACCCUCUCAACCAGCGGGUUCACAAGAUGGGGAUGUCCCAGCAGGCUCUUCCAGUGCUAGGACAGGGCCUUCCCCAGGCCCGCUUCUGGUCUCAUCUGAAUGCUUUGGUGUAAGGAACAGGGGACGGUUCCUUUUCAGAUAGGUAAUCCAGGGUUCUAGAGGAUGAGACGACAGUGCUGUGAGCCUCCAGAAAUGAAUUCCUGCCUCUGGACAGGAAUCUGAAGAUAGAUCAGGCUCUCUCACUCUGCCUCCUUCUUCUUGGGCUCUUCUCUGUCCCCUCUCCUGCUUCCUUCCUUCUCCUGCUCCCUGUCUCUCCCAGCCCCUGCUGAACUAGCUUCCCAGGCCUAUUAAUCAGGCCUGAUCUGACCUCAAGACCAAAGAGCCAAGAAGAGGAGGGAGGCAGGGAAGAAGAAAGGAGGGAAGAGGACAAUUCACCUGCCUGGAGACCUGGUCAGUGCUACUCACCUUUGCCUCUCUUGUCUCCUAGACCUCCCCCCAGUCACCCUACAAGGCAGAACCUAUUUAUAGGGGAGCAAACUCAGUCUCCAAGAGCAUAGAUGUUCUGACUGGCACCACACAACUGAUUAGGAGCCAGUCUCCAGGCUCCUAGGUGGCUCCUAGUUGACAACCGGGAGCUUAAACUGACCGGGGAGGAAGAAGAGCAUCUCCUUGGUCCUAAGGCUCUCAGUCAUUCAGGGCUGAAGCCAGUCAGGGCAGGUGGGAGGGCUGGCCUAGCUAGUCCCUGUCCCAAAGAGGGCAGGUAGCCCAAGGCUAGUCACUUCACCUUUCUGAAGAUCCUUUUGUCCAGUUAAAAAUCUGGCCAGGAGUGACCUUUGCCCUCGAGGGAAAAGUGAUAAGUGCCUUGGCUUGUAGCUAGACUUGAUUUCAAAUUCUGGUUCUGCCUGUCCCUAGUUGAGUAGCUAGACACAAGUCACUUCUCCCUGCUGUGAAAUGGGAGUGAUCAGGCCAUCCACAUGGGGUUUUGCUGAAGAUUGGGCCCCUUAGAGGGCUCCACAGCUGGUGCUCAAGGGGUGGAAAGAAAUGCAAUGAGAAAGCCUAGUGACCAUCAGCUGUGGGACCAGGCAAGUGGCUCCCCCCUACCCUGCCCCCACGAUGCCAAAGCACUCUUGGGCCUGGGAGGGCAGACUAGAGACUCGUGUCUGACCUUUUACCCUCUUGGAUCCCCAGAGAGCACACCCUCACUCCAUCCUACCAUCCUGGCCCUUACAUACCCAUCCUGCUCCAUUCUUCCCUGGCCGACUCAGGGCUCUGUUCCCACCCCACCCCCAGUACAAAAGGGACAUUUGACAUUC